AUGUGCCACCGAGAGACCAUGAUCAAAAAUGCAGACAUGUCGGAAGAGAUGCAACAGGACUCGGUGGAGUGCGCUAUUCAGGCACUGGAGAAAUAUAACAUAGAGAAGGAUAUUGCAGCUCAUCUUAAGAAGGAAUUUGACAAGAAGAACAAUCCCACCUGGCAUUGUAUCGUGGGGAGGAACUUCGGUAGUUACAUGACACGUGAAAUCAAACACUUCAUCUACUUCUACCUGGACCAAGUGGCCAUUCUCUUGUUCAAAUCUGG
rnacentral:lncRNA from 1 species